GCUCCAAUAGCGUAUAUUAAAGUUGUUGCAGUUAAAAAGCUCGUAGUUGGAUUUCGGAAUGGGCCAGUCGGUCCACCGCAAGGUGAGUUACUGACUGGUUUGUUCUUCUUCGCAAAGACUGCGUGUGCACUUCAUUGUGUGGGCGUAGGAUUUACGACGUUUACUUUGAAAAAAUUAGAGUGUUCAAAGCAGGCUAUCGC
rnacentral:rRNA from 1 species